rnacentral:lncRNA from 1 species
AUGGGGGAGUCAAUAGGGGGGUUCCCCUAUGAGGGGUGUCAUGGGGGGGGUCCCCUAUGGGGGGGGGGAGUCAUUGGGUGGUCAAUGGUGGGAGGGGCUGCAGGGGAUGUCAUUCAUUGGAGUCCCCUAUGGGGGUUGUCAAUGGAGAGGUCCCAUACAGGGGGGUCAAUGGGGGGGGGGGGGUCAAUGGAGGGGUCCCCUAUAGGGGGGUCCCCUAUAGGGGGGUCCCCUAUAGGGUUGUCAAUGGAGAGGCCCCCUAUGGGGGGAUCAAUAGGGGGGUCCCCUAUAGGGUUGUCAAUGGGGGGUCGUCCCCCCCUCUAUGACAUCUUCCAUAUGGUGAGGGAUGCAGUGAGGACCCCGGCAGCGAAGAGGGUGAGCGCCUGCCAGGAGGGGGCGAGCGAGGACGACAGCAACCCGUCCUGGGGGGGCACAGAGACACGGGGGGGUCACCACGGCCCCAUUACCCCCCAUUGCCCCCCAUUACCCCCCCAUUGCCCCGAAUGGACUCACCCAUCCGCCCUGCGCCUGGAUCCAGCCCAGGACAUGCUCCCGCAGGUAUUCCAUGGUCCAGGCCAGGAUGGUCCUGACCAGCUCCGGGAGCCGGGCACAGAGCGCCUGCAGGGGAGGGGGGUCAAUAUGGCAUGGGGGGGGUCCCCAAGGGUCCUAUGGGGGCGGUUAAGGGGGUCCCAAGAGGGUUUUGGGGGGGUUUUUAAGGGGGUUUU